GGAGGGAGGCUCGGAGCUCAGGAAGCAUGGCACUCUGGCGGGCAUACCAGCGGGCCCUGGCUGCUCACCCGUGGAAAGUACAGGUCCUGACAGCUGGGUCCCUGAUGGGCCUGGGUGACAUUAUCUCACAGCAGCUGGUGGAGAGGCGGGGUCUGCAGGAACACCAGAGAGGCCGGACUCUGACCAUGGUGUCCCUGGGCUGUGGCUUUGUGGGCCCUGUGGUAGGAGGCUGGUACAAGGUUUUGGAUCGGUUCAUCCCUGGCACCACCAAAGUGGAUGCACUGAAGAAGAUGUUGUUGGAUCAGGGGGGCUUUGCCCCGUGUUUUCUAGGCUGCUUUCUCCCACUGGUAGGGGCACUUAAUGGACUGCCAGCCCAGGACAACUGGGCCAAACUACAGCGGGUGAGCUGGGCAGGUGUGGAGAAUGUCUCUGGCUGGCGGGCUGACAGCCCAGGGGAAGAAGACAGGUUUUACAGGGAUAAAAAAGGGGGUAAGUGCAGGUAGAGCCCCAGGCCAUGGAGGAGAGGAGCUGAGGGUUAUGGUGCAGGAAUGUGCUCUUUGAACCCAAGUCUGUGUGUGACAUUCACACUGGGAAGUGGGAGCUGCUUGGGGGCGCAAGUGUUAAUUUGUUCCUUCUCUGUCUCCCCAGGAUUAUCCUGAUGCCCUUAUCACCAACUACUAUGUAAGAGCUGACACCUCAACUGCUUGUUCUCCUGCUUCCUUAAGUCUAGAACUGUCCUGGGAUUGGGGGGUCCUCCUGACAUGGGAAACCCUUCCGUUGGGAUUACUCUUUCAUUCCCAGGAUGGGCACCAUAAAUAGGGAAGCCAUCACCCAACUGUUCACCUUUUUCUUGUGUGCAGAAGUUGGGGUAGGGCCAGGCAAGACAGUGAGUCUGGGGUCAGGUGGUGGGGCAGCCAUCCAACCUUUACAUUCUCUCUUGCAGCUAUGGCCUGCUGUGCAGUUAG
rnacentral:sRNA from 1 species